GAAGGAAUAGCUCAGUGGUAGAAUGGGUGCUUAGUAUGCACGAGGUCCUGGGUUCAAUCCCCAGUACCUCCA
rnacentral:tRNA from 1 species